rnacentral:rRNA from 1 species
ACGAGCGCUGGCGGCGUGCUUAACACAUGCAAGUCGAACGGUGAAGCGCCUUCCUUUUUGGUGGGUGUGGAUGAGUGGCGAACGGGUGAGUAACACGUGAGUAACCUGCCCCCUUCUUCUGGAUAACCGCAUGAAAGUGUGGCUAAUACGGGAUAUUCUGGGUCUGUCGCAUGAUGGGUCUGGGAAAGAUAUUGUUUCGGUGGGGGAUGGGCUCGCGGCCUAUCAGCUUGUUGGUGGGGUGAUGGCCUACCAAGGCGGUGACGGGUAGCCGGCCUGAGAGGGUGGACGGUCACACUGGGACUGAGACACGGCCCAGACUCCUACGGGAGGCAGCAGUGGGGAAUAUUGCACAAUGGGCGCAAGCCUGAUGCAGCGACGCCGCGUGAGGGAUGGAGGCCUUCAGGUUGUGAACCUCUUUCGCCAGUGAAGCAGGCCUGCCUCGUUUGUGGGUGGGUUGACGGUAGCUGGAGAAGAAGCGCCGGCUAACUACGUG